rnacentral:rRNA from 1 species
CGGAGGGUGCAAGCAUUAAUCGGAUUUAUUGGGCGUAAAGGGCGCGUAGGCGGAUCUGAAAGUCAGAUGUGAAAUUCCGGAGCUCAACUUCGGAGCUGCAUUUGAAACUCUAGAUCUAGAGGAAUGGCGGAGAAAAUGGAAUUCCACGUGUAGCGGUGAAAUGCGUAGAUAUGUGGAAGAACACCUGUGGCGAAAGCGGUUUUCUAGCUUUCACCUGACGCUGAGGCGCGAGAGCAAGGGGAGCAAACAGGAUUAGAUACCCUGGUAGUCCUUGCCGUAAACGAUGUAUACUUGAUGUAGCUAGGCUCAACCCUGGCUGUGUCGAAGCUAACGCGAUAAGUAUACCGCCUGGGGAGUACGCUCGCAAGGGUG